GCUCGGGCAGCCUGGGAACGGGGGGCUCCGGCUCCGACCUGGACACCCGUGACUCGGGCACGGGCGGCUCCGGCUCCGACCCGGGCACGGGCG
rnacentral:tRNA from 1 species